AAAUUUUGCUUACAAAGUGUUGCUUACAAAGUUUUUUUUUAUUCGCUACACUAAUAUAACGGAAAAUUUGUUACAUAUUCUCUUUGAUAUAAUAGAAACAUUUUGCAAAGACAUUCUCCCCUUCUGUGUGAAAUUUUAUAAAAGAGUGGCAUGCAAAUACUUUAUCAACUUUCAAAUGUAUAUCAUAAUGUCAACAACACGUAUUUAGCCUACAGAUAGGGCGUGUGCGGGCGAGAGCAGACCAGUCAAAGAGUCUGACAUUAGGGAUGCGAGCAUACAACGGGGGCGAGUUGGAAUAUACCAUACGUUGUAAAAUGCAUUUUAUCAUUGUGAUGCCUUCGCAAUCGCAGAAUAUUAUGCGAGAAAUGCAACGGCGCACGUCCAUCAGUCGUCUGGGUCAUUGAUCACGAAUGCAUAAUAUGUGAAUAUCAACUAAUCGCGAAUCAUGCCGGACAACGCCGUGAAUUUUUUCCGUGGCAUUUUCAUAUGCGAUCGACUUCACGAUCGAGCUCCGAAGUUAUCCUGUUUUAACUAUUGACUGAGAAUUCCUUUUAUUUUGAGAAGAGGCAAAAAGUCAAUCGUGAAUUCGAUAUGCUCGUAAUCGAUAGUUAUAGCUAAGCUAAUCACAAGUAAUAAUGCUGUACGACAAAAAAUGUAAAAUUUUCAAUCUGAAUGGGAACUGAUUUUGACGUCAACGAAAUUUCGAAUUGCUGCCAUAUAUGAUGGAAGAUUCUAAUAUUUUAUAUAAAGCAUUUAUUGUAUCAAGUUAUUUAAGCUUUUCUAUCUCUUCCGUCGAAUAUAUAGAUGUAUAAUAAAACAUUAAAUGAAAGAACAUAAAUCUUUUAUAAGUAAGACUGUUUAUAUAAUGUAAUAUGUCGAUAAUCUACGCAAAAGUCUUAUAAUUUAAACGUCUUUUUAUGCAAA